AGCAGGGAUGCAUCACAAAUUCUGGGGCCCCUGACACAGCUCAAGUUCUGGGCCCUUGUGGCCAUCUAUGAGUCUGCCCAGAGAUCCUGCCCCAAGUCCACCCAGAUGGCCCAUCCUGAGCCCACCCACAAGGAUGAAGUGUGUGUGCACUGAACGUGGAGUGUGUAUAGUGGAUGAGAUUGUACUUUUGUGUAGUGGAUGUAGUGUUUGUGUGUA